rnacentral:lncRNA from 1 species
UAAAUACAAUGAACUAUAUUUCAUGUUAUAUUAAGUUGUAAGAUUAAUAUGCACAUAUGAGGAUAGAAAUUGCUGGGCAGAAUUAUUCUGAAGGAAAAAGGAAGAGAAAAAAAAUGACCUAAGGGAGAAAGAAGGAGGAAUGUAUAAAAGAUUACCUGUUGGGCAAAGAAUAAGAAGUUCCUCAUAUCACACAUUUCUUUUGUCCCAGGAAGAUCAAAGUUAAGUUUGAAGGAGAAGAAAUAAUUUUAGUCUUGUUCCCAGAAAGGAAAAGGAGGAUGGAUUGAUUAGACAGAGUAUGAGAGACAUAAUAAGUAUUCAUUGCAUAAGGAGAGAAGAAAAAUGUGGUACCAAAUGACAGUAUUUAAGUAGUCAACAUGAGUAGAUGGAAAUAGAGGAUGUGGCAAAUCCACAGAGUUUCUAAAUAAGCAGGGAGAUCUAUUUAAAAUUAUACAAAGACACAGAAAGACAGUAAACUUGAUGUAACGUGGAUUCAUUAUGAUACAGAGUCACUAAAUAGGAGCCUGUUGCUGCUGCUAGAAUAGGAAACUAUAAAGUAAGUGAUGACAGAAAUCCCAGUGAUAUAUCACAAAGCAAAUGGCCUUAGGAAGGACCAGAUGAGAACCAGACUUCAGGGAGGCUGUCGGAAUGAACAAAUGGCAGGGAGCCAGCCGCAAACAUGUAUAGUCUUGGUGGCAGUCGAACUUUCAAUGACCACACACAAUCUUUAUGUGAGGGCAAAACUCAAGCCCAAUGUCCUUAAAAGUCAAGAAGUCCUUCAUCCCAAAGAAAAAAACAAAUGUUACCCAAUAGGCAAACAAUGCUGAGAGUUCACUUCCUCUAACUCUGUAGUUAAGUUACUCACUCAGUAUAACAUCACCCUCCUGCCAGGGGUUGAAGUCAGGAAGUAGUUUAUUUUCGCUGAAACUGAAGGGGGAAGUUAAAGAGAAAAAUAGCUGCAACUUGGUCAAUUCAGGAAAACCAGGUACGAAAAAAGAGGAGCAAGUUAAAGGGAAAGCCAGCUCGGAUUUGCUCACCAGUAAAAGGCAAAAAUCCCAGUGUUAUUCAUCUGCAUUUGGUGUGAAAGACAAAAGCUCAACUGGGAUCUGAGGCUUUCUGUGUCAGAGGGCAAGGAGUCAAUGGGGUUAUGAGGAAGUAAGACCACUUGAGACAUCAAAGAAAAGUAGAUCAAAUCACUAGACUCCUCCAAACAGGAGUGGGUGAAGACAAAAAGUGGAGAGAAUCCAGAGGGAAGAGAGGAGUAGGGAAAAUGGUGGAAAGGGAAGGUUUUUGAGAUGGAAGGCAGAGAAUGGGAACAAAAGAAGAAAAAGCUGUUUGUUUCAAAUCAAUAUUCUCCAAGAGGAUGUCUUGUUUCCCCAGGGAUAUUCUGAGGGACUCACAGGAUCAGAGCUGCGACACUUCUAACAUAUGAAUUCUCUCAAUUCUGAUGCCCUUUGACCUCUGCCACACAAUGCCAAGACAAACCCAGACCCCAGGCCCUGGAAACAGAGGAGGGGCAGGUUUUCUCAGAGUUAACUUUCUCUAACCUUGAAGCCGAAUCCAGGGGCAGGAGCAGGAGUCAACUCUGAGAAGACGUGAUAGAGCUUCAGCAACAUGGAGAGGAGAUAGCCGGUCUGGCUAGGAUGGAAGAAAUGUACAUGGAGAAGAAAGACAGAAGAACCAUCACUGAGCACUAAACUAAUCAGCCAUAAUGUGCAGAUUGACUGGCAAGCCUAUCACCACCUUGAUAACAGAUGACAUUAAAGAGAAAGUAUCAAUGUGAGGAUUAAAUGGGAUGAAAAAUAAAACAUCUGUCGGAGUGCCUGGAAUAUGAGCCUAGUAGAGCACCCAGCACACAGUAGGCUCUUAAUACAUGCUUGGGAUGAUUGAGGCAUUUUCUUCCACCAUAUUCCAUGAUCUUCUAGCCCUGGGGGUGCAGAGAGAUUACCUGGCCAAGAAGACUAGGGGUAAAGUACUUUUCUUACCUGGUACACAAAUAUCCAAGAUUGGAAAGAAGAAAGAAAAUGACGACAGAAUUUUGCAGUCUACAAGGCAAACACUGCCAUUCAUGUAGUUAUGGAGUUCCUACUAUGUGCAGACAAUGGGAAACUUUACGAAGGAACCUCGACGUAGCCUGUUCCCAAUGCCCUCUGUGGAAUCAGCCAGGUCCAUGCCACAAGUAUGAAUUGUUUCCAGUGCGGCAGUCCUGGGAGUGCCUGAGCCACAAGCCAGUGUCCCCUACUCAGUUGUGCCCUGUGGGGACUGAAGCAGGACUAUAUUCUCACAGGCUCUCCUAAAAGCUGGGCUGCCAGCUUCUAGCUCUACUCCUUUCUCAAAGUGGCCCAGGCCAUCUCUCAGACCAAGGUGGAUGGAGCAGCAUCAGCCAUGGCUCAGGAAUGCAGCCGCCUACUUUCCUGUUAUCAGCAGGCAUUCCUGUGGUUACACUAUUCCUGCUUAGCUUAUCAAUGGCCCUUGGGAACACAGAGUCAGCACCCAAAGAGGGCCAGAACAGCCUGCUUGUUGGACGCCCAUCCACACCAUGAGGCUUUCCUGGAUGUAGAGGGAAGUUACUGUUCCUCGGGAAAACCCCUCUUCCCAGCUGGGUUUUAAAAAGCAGCAGGUUUAAGAGCUGACCAUAUCUGAAAGACUCUAGAAUAGCAGAGGAUUGAUUAAAGGGACACAGAGGUUCAUGUGAUGUAAUAAGAAAGAAAUAAAGGAAGCUUUAUCUGCCGCUCUUUCAACCUCAUCCACUCAACACUUACCCCGUGACAGACCCCAAUACUCUUAAUGAAUUCCCAAGGUUACGAAAGAACUUGGAAGAUCUUACAUUCCUACAUGGUGAUUACAGAGGCUCACAUUUUGCCAAGUCAUAUGCAGGUGGCUGAAAAGUAAGUUUACUUUAUCUGCAUUUCAUAUUACACUUGUUCUUUCUUAUGAAUGUUUCUUUCAUAGUCAUGCAAAGUACUCAAUCAGUAAUUCCCCACCAAAAUGGUUGUUACAUAAGCGGCCGUGCAACAAUGCAUAUGUCAGCUCAGAUUCAUGUCAGAGAAAGUUCUCUAGUUUAUAUAACUCACUCCCCAGCAGCCAGUACACAGUUCAAAAAGUGUGGGCCUUUACAUUAUGGCGGGAGGGAGGUUAUUUUGUUUUGUUUGUUUUUUUUUAACACAUCACAUAAAUACACUUCCUUUCUCCUUUGUAACGUAUGGGAUACAUGGAAUUCCUAACUCACACAGAUCUCACUGUAGACCCAAUGAAUGGCACGGAGCCGACACAAACACCCACACACUUGUCUCAGUUACAGAUCUCUGCUAAAGACCAGAAGUUGGCCAUUACUAUGAAUAUACACUUCUGUUGGAUUUCUAUGGUAUUUGGUUUCAUUAGAUUGUAUGUUAAGUUAAAUAUGUUUUUUAAAGUUUCAUUCUCCUACCUCAAGUUACGGUGCAUCAAGGGGUCUCAGAGAGAAGUGGAGCUGCCACCUCAAUGUCCCGACCCCAGAGAGGAGCCUCUCAAGCCACCCCAAGGCAGCUGAGCCCCAGCUCGCACCAGAUCACUGUGGAGCAGAACCAAUUUUUAAAUGUCUUCAUCUGGUCCCUCCUACUUUUAUGGUGCUCUGGGGGUGGUGAGAAUCGGGAUGCACUGAAAGCUGCUGGGACAUCUGACUCUUUAUUUUCUUGGCUCUACGUGUCUUAACUCUGCACCAAUCCUCCCGACUGUGCAGAAUUUCACUUUGGAGAGCAGAGGCAAACGGAGAUUCACACAGAGGGGCAGGAGCCGUCAAUGCUGUCUAGUGAGAGGAGAGAAGAGGCAUUGUAAGUCCCCAUAGCACUGCUGUUGGGCUACCCUGCCAGUCAAUGCCACUUUUCCCACAGGCUCCAGCCUCAACUUCCCCUGGUGCAAUAUGAUGAUGGGAAGAAGGGCUCCUAAGAGGAAACUGAUUUAAGUAUCUCUGUUUUUCAGAAAACACUUCCAAUUGCUCUCUCAAGAAUGCGUUUCUAUUUCAUGAGUUGAUGUCAUAUUUUUAGGGGGAGGGAUGUAUGGAGAGAGAAAACUUUCAAAUAUCUGGAAAUCAGUGGUAUGAUGAGCCCUGUUCUCUGCUGCUCCAAGUACAAUACCAAAGCAUGUGGUGGAAGUGAUGGGACAGAUUUGGUUCCAUAUUAGAACUUCCUACUUGUAUGUUGAAUUUUAACGGAUGGCUGGGAGUAACAUCCACUUUACGGAGGUAUAUAAGCAAGCUCCAGACAGUAACUUGGUAUGGAGACUAUGCCAAGGAUCCCAUUGUCAGAAGGGAAGUAUGGUGUUGGGGAAGGAUAUUUCUCCCUCCCCUCCCCAUAGUGCCAUCCUCUGCUUAUAGAGGAGGAAAUAGCUACCCAAGCUUUAGCCCCUCCCGCUGCCCUAUGGAAGGAAUACAUUCCACUCUGAACUAAAGCUGGCAUCUUUGGUGCCACAUUUUAACAGAGGGUCGAGUUACUGUAUCUUGAGAAAGACAUGGGUACGUCAUGCUUCCUUCCACUAUCUGUACCCACUCAAAGUGAAUCGUUCCCCACUGUUCUCUUUAAAUUUUUGCUUCAUGUAGCAGAGAUUCAGGGUCUCGCUCCCCUUCUCCUCCUGACACAAAAGGCAGUCAGACUGAACAGUGGGAUAAGCCCUGAAGAUGGCUGGGAACAGCCACCGGUGGAAAGGGAACCCUUCUUUGCUGCCUUUCUCAUUGCCCCAGCACUGCUAAGUGCAGCAGAUUGGCCUUUUUCACAUUGCAGGGAUGAGAUCCUCAGGAUUUGAGAGGGUUCAUCUGGCUUCCAGGAUUAAACUGUGUUUUCAAAUCGAUCUUUUGACAAAGCCCAACAAUAGAGUUAUUUCUGUUUACCCAUGCAUUUCUAUUAACCCAAGGUGGUGCCUCCUUUCCCACUCAGCUAUCAAUCUUUGUAUGUAUAAUCAAACCCCCAAAUAUAUCUCCAACCAAACUUUCACAACUACAGUGGCACACUCACACAGAGUGAUCUAAAUGGAACACGGGUUUUCUAUAACCACAACCAAACCAUAAACGGCAUUUUAUAUACAUUAUCAUCCAGAAAGCAAUCAGAUUUUUUCAUAGCAAAUGGUAAGAUAUAAUAAAAGGAAAUUUGAGAAUUAUCAUAUAACUUAUAAUGUCUCUUUUAGCCCUAAGGUCCUAAGAUUCAGUGACAUGUGGUGUUUUCUCUUUUUCCUACCACUUUUUCAGCUUAAUUAUUAUCUACAGAGAUUAAAAACACAACUAAAAUUUCUGCAGAUUCACAGUGCUAUUUCAGAAUAGAUUUUACCCCUUAGUACCUUCUAUUUAAUCAAUUAAUGAGAAUACUUUGGAGCCCACUGCAGAAACUAUAAAUUCCAAAUGGUUCCUCAGAACAUGUCAUCAUCAAACCAGUUAGGCUGGCGUUGGUAAAUACCACAGCCUGCAGUUGCCAUGUGUUACAAAAACAAUAAACAGAUACCCUUCAUACCUCUCCCUUCCCUAAAACAAUUAUUCCUAUAAAAGUCUGUCUCUCCAGAUUUUUUGUUGUGGUGUUUCUGAUACCAGUACAAUCAGAAAGUAAUGAAAGUGUUCACUGAAAGGAAGUUUUCACUGAGCAUUGCAGGCCAAUGAGAAUGCAGAUUAACUCAAAUAAACUUUGGAAUGCCAGCCAAACCCAUGAAACUUGUCAGCAGUUCAUCUACUGAGAGUGGUUAUGCUUUUUCAGUAGUACCUUAUCCUGAAAUAACCUGAUGGAAAAGCCAGUGUCGGAUGACACAUGACAUCAAGUGUUCAAUGCAAAUUCUGCUGGCAUACUAUCCUGUUUGACUCCCUUGCUCUUGAGCCUUCCACAGUUGGUAAUAAGGAACUGAGUACCUUUGCAAUCUCCAGUAAAACAUGUGUGAUGGAAAUGUAAUUCCUUAGGGAAGCAAUUCCCAAUGGCAUACAUAGAUUUGAUUUUUGGGUUGAAAAGUAGUAAAUGACGAAUUGAAGUUUCUUUUUCUCUACUUAAAAACUAUUCUUGACAUUAAUUUUACUUGUAUUUGUUAACCAGUUUACAUUUUAUUUUGUUACUGAGACACUCAAAAGUGUCUAUAUUUUAGUCAAAGCUAAAACUGAAAGACUUUAGCAAAUUGACUUUUCUCUUUCUCCCAACAAACAUUAACUCAGUAUUUUACCUAGCUUUAUUUUCAAAUAUGGAGUUUUAUAGCACCUUGAUUUAUAGCUGGGCGUAAGAAAAGGUUAUGUCAGCAUUUACAUUAUAAGGCCAUGGUUUUGUGGUUUAUAACUAAGCCAUAAAAAUAAUUCUGACUAAAAUUUGGAAUGCCAGUUUCCACCUUGAAACGCAAGUGUGUCCCUAGCUGUAUGACCACACACACACACACACACACACACACACACAUCAGAAUUCAACAACUGCUGUUUUGUAUAAUACAUUUAUUCAAUAUAUUGCUUUGAUUAAAAAUGAACUCAAAGAAAGUCAAGGCUAUGAAGUGAAUUCAAACAAAGCUGUCAUCUAAUGGUAACAACUUAUAUCCUAAGAUAUAUUUUAGUAGAUUUGAAAGUUGAUUUAAUGACAAAAGAAUUUACUGUAUAGUUUUCAUAGUUAAAGAAUAAAGGACAGAAAGAUGAAGUGAGACCUCCACACACAAAAAAAUAGCCUUUUCUUAAUAAGAAAUGUUUGCAACAUUCUUCCACGCUGUAUGGUAGAUAUUCUCUGAAUCUCUUUGCAGAUGUGAUCUAACGUCCUUGAACACAUUUAUUACAAUCCAUCAUCUACAUGGCAACAGUCAGGGCCAUGCUCAUAAACCAGAACUGGUGCUAGAUCUGGUAAGUCAUUAAGCAAACAUAUUCCUGUGUUGUGCGUGGCGUGCAUGCCCACUGCCUGCCUAUAAAACGGAAAUAAGAUUUCUGAUUUGCAAAUUACCUCCUAAGACAUGUAAAGCUAGCUCCUUUAAUCCACAUUACUCAUUUUUGUAUUUUGACUGUUUCAAAUGCUAAAACAGACCUGAAUACAGUUUCCACAGUUCUCUUUAUAAUUAUUGUAUUUUUCAUUUACAUGAUCAUGAAACCUGUUAGCAAGUGAGAAACAGAAUCAUUUUCACUGAGACAAAAAAUAUUGAGAAUUAGGGGGAGAAACUCUGAAGCAAUAUAAACAACAGAGUCUAAUCUUAUCAAAGAGAGAAGGCAGUUGGUGAAUCUGAAAGAUCACUUACUUACCACUCAAUCAUAGAACUUAUACCCCCAAAUAGGAUUUAAGAAAGAAAAAAGCAAUUUAGUAGGAACUGGAAGUUAUAGGGCAUAGGUCUGCUUUAGUUGGUGACAAAAAUUAUGCCUCAGAGGUUAAGAGCAUGGAUUAGGGUGCUGGGUUGCCUGGUUUAAAUCCUAGCUCUGGCACUUACUACUGCAUGGUCCUUGACCAGUUAUUUAACUACUCUGUGCCUCGGCUUCCCAGUGUGGAAAGCAGAAAAACAGUAUCUCCCUUACAGAGAGGCUUUAAAGUUUAAAUGCAUUAACAAAGGGAAAAUCCUUUCAAUGUUGACACAUCAUGAGUGUGACAUAAGUAUUACCUAUUAUUUUUAUUAUGUGACCAAAUGUGGAAGAAAAAUUCUAUAAGAAAGUAGUAACAUUGUUUAGUCUUUCAAAAAUCAUAUAUUCUCCUCCAAUCCUGGCUCUCUGCAAUUCAAGAAAUCCUAACAAAUAGAAAACCUUUGUACACAGGAGAAAACGGAGAUGAGCAAAGGCAAUAUUUGGCUUAUUUGUUAUAACCCUAAUAAAACAAGACUGCUUGAAGAAAUAGACCAAAUUGUGGAAUGUUUAACAUUGAUCCAGGACUGGCUCUUCUGAGGAAAAGAUAUAAUAUUUAUCAUGUGGCCAAUUUUGUCUGUGAAGAUAAGGAGGAACUAAUCGGUCUCAACUUCAUGAUGUUGCUUAAAGGAGCAUAUAAAUGUACGAUCAUAAGUAUCCUUUAAAUGAAGGGGUUGGUUUUAUGACUGCAGAAGUGAGAAAGAGUAAGGUCAUUUAGCCUGAGCAACACAGCAAAACCUUGUCUCUACUAAAAAUUAAACAAAACAACCAAA